UUCCUCCUCCGCUCUGUUAGUCUGGAAGUUGUUUGAAAUGUGAAGCUGAAGCGUUCUGGGGUUUCUCGUCGUGGUUAUUGAUGGAGAAUGGUAUGUUCUUCAUGAAUGAAGGAUCUGUGGGAUCAUGUGGGAGCAAGGAUCGCACUUCCUCUGUGGUUAGAUAGAAUGUUUUAUGGUCAUGAUUAUUUUUAAGUCUGUGCUUUGAUGGAUCUGAUGUGACAGCUGCCCAAAAAAACCCCAAAAAACAUCAAUCUCCAUCUGUAUAUCUUAGCGUAUAUGUUACACAGUUUGAAUGUGUGUGAGGACAGCUUGAUGAUUCAGUGGAUGGUGUUUGUCUUUGGGACUGUAUGCACUUUACAGCACUCAUUAAGCUUGGUUGGCUAGUUACUGUAACUCAUUAAAGCGUUGUUUGGCACGGCCCAGUGCGUGUGUAUGGACCCAGAAAAUCAGGAUUGUGCAUAAAGAGGCACGGUCUACACUGGCCAAACAGAGAGGCGAUGAACAGAAGGUAGAUAAAAUAUGUCCAUUUAGAUAUACAGUUUUUAAAAAGUUUGACUCUCUGGAAGUAAAAUUUAUUCACUUUAUAAACUUUUUAAAGUUGGGCAAGAAGAUUGAGAGUUUUGUGUAGUGCGCUAAAUGUGUCAUGCUAGUUUAGCCUAGCAAUGAAAACAAUGUGGUUAAAUGUUAGCCUACCUUGCUUAAUGCCACGAAACAUGCUUCUAAGCCUUUUUGAUUUAUUUUAAUUCAGAUUUAAUAUAAAUGUGAUGAAAAGAUUUAGUUUUGUGAGAAAUAAUUAACUAGUAGACGCCAAGCUAGCUGCUACCGUUAGCUAUGACUCAGCAAAAAGAGCUGAGUUAUACUAACCAGCUGCUGCUAGCAUGUUUGGCACCAGCGUUAUUUUAAAAACCUUGUACCCCUAAACUUUUUCUGGUGGUGGUUUGGCAGAGGAAUUAGGGUAUGGAUCUUUGAGGACGUUUUUUAAAAUAAGAGUUAAUUGGGGUGACCAUAUUCUGAAUUCCCAAAAAGAGGACAUGACGAUGCGGGGGAGGAGUCACAGAGUCCCAAAAAGUUAAUUUUGAGAGUUUUUCAGGUUGGAUCUAGUGUCUUUUAACGCACUUCUAACUCAGUAAGUCCACAUGACACAAACUCGAAACUUCUAUACUAAACCCCAGACAUUUGAAGGAUUUUAUAAACUUCCCCGGACAGGGUUGGACAGCCCCCAAAAGAGAAGAUCUAUCCGAGUAAAAAAGGAUGUAUGGUCACCUUAAGUUAAUCUUGACCAUUUAUGCAAUGUAUGUGUUUGGUCAAUAAAGGUCAUUGAAAAGAGACAAAAACUAACAGCCAUAUUUCAUGAAAAUGACUCCAAUGAUAACCUGUGUGGAAAUCAUGUAAUUAUCCUCAUAUUUAACUGAAUGUGUGUCUUUAUCUUUAUCAUGAAGUGCGUGUUUUUGAAAUAUCUUCCAAUAGUGGUCAAGGUGGAGCUUUGGCUGUUGUCAUUAUUGUCUGUAUAUGAAACUGUAACUAUUUUAAUACUCCAUUUAAUCAGUUUCUUCCAUUCAAGCUUAAUCUCGAUCCACAUCUCUUCCCCUCUCAGCACACAUAAUUAUUAAUCACCACAUUUUAAUUUAGCUCUAUAAACUCUGACCUGCUUUUUCUCUCUCAGAUAAUAACCAGGAGAGUGAGCAGGUGCUCUCAUCAGCCUAAUGCACUAUAACCGGUAAUGCGAUCUCCUGGGUAGUGGGGUUGUAAGUGAGCGCUUUCCCCUGUCAUCCCUUCAAAUCCCACUGGACAAGAAUUAUGCUCGUGUGAAUUAUUAAAGUGGGCAUAAGUCUGAAGGGUUUAUCAUCCAGAGAUUUCCUUGUCAUUACUUUAGACUACACAUUUGUUCAAAUUCUUGUGUCUUCCUGAGUCUUUUCCUGUGAGGGGAGCAUUUUCAUCCUCUUCUUCCCUAUUGUGUGUACUUUAUACUACACUGCAGAGGUGACAAGAAAGUCGUUUACCCACAGGAGAUUAUGAAACAAAAAGGAACUGGUGUCCAACUCUGCAAGAUUAUCCGUGCGUGUGUGUGGUCAGCCACCAGCGAUAUAAUUGAGCUGAGUGCCAGAUGUGCCUCUCCUACAUUAUAGAUGAUAGUGGCAAACAUAAGGUCUGCAUGAGGUUUCAACAUCAAGCUCCCUCCUGAGUCUGUCUCUAAAAUCUGCUGUGUAUUAGUGUCAGGUUUAUUGUAGUUUAUUGAUGCUUGUAGUCCUUGAAAGUCUGUCUUACAGGUUUAAGGAAAACAUGUUUAUUCAUUUAAACUGGAGUCAUUUACUCAAUCACUCUCAUUUUAUCCUCUCUUCUUUAUAAGAGUUAUUAAUUUAAUGAUUGAUUUGAUUGAUUGAUAAAUGAAUUAUAGUUUAGUUAAGAUGCACUUUAAUAUGGCUUGACUUGAGCAUAGAUAAAUGCUCCGUAGAGUCACGCAUUGAUUUUUAAAAGGCGUCUUGAAGCCCAUCAAUGGCUGUUGCCGUAUUGAUGAUUGAUUUACAUGAUGGUAUAAAAUGUGAUUUAUUGCUUUGUCCUUCUGAAACUAGACUUUUAAAAAUACAUGUAAACACACAGGGUGGCCAUGGCUCUGUGUAUGUUUAGUUGUCCCUCAUUUUAAAGAUCAGGGGUUCAAUUUCAAGACCUGUUAUUCAAAUACUGGACUGUUCUAGGGCAAGACACCUAACCCCCCUAAAUUUCCCAACUGUUGUACUAUUGGUAUAAUUAUGGGAUCAGUUAAAACUGGUAGCCGUGAUUGUAAUGCAAUGUUAACAAUGUGACAUGCGAUGUAAAGGCAUUUUGAGUGGUCGGGAGCCAAGAGGAGUUACAAUAAAAGCUUAGACAAGUUACCAUGAUAGUUUGACUGAAAUCAUGCUCAGCCGAAUGACCCAAAGUUGGACCAGCAAAGAUGAUCUUGGAUAGUUCAGGAUCGACAUUGAGUACAAGUGUUCUGUGCAUACUCAAGAGUGUUGAGUUUUGACUGGUAGGAAGAGGAAGUAGUAGUAGAUGAAGAAGAAAAAAAAAGACAAAGAUGUUGGAUCAUACAUCCCAACGGUAAAGGGGUGUAGAGCUGUCCGUGUUUUCACUAUUCGACAUACAACCAGUCAGCUUCAUGCUAACUUGUUUGUUGAUUGUUUUGGUCAGAGAGCGGCAGGCAGAGAGGGGGCAAAUGGCCACCUAGUAUAGCAGUGGAAGAUAUACUUAUAUCAAUAAAAUAUUCUGACUGCUUGUACACCAGGAUGAGGACAGUAGUCCAUUUAAACUUUUAUGCCAAGUCAAAACUGAAUUGUUGAAAGAAAACGACUUUGCUCCUGUACAGUGUGAACAAAUAAUUAAACAAAUCAAUGGGCUAUUUGGACCAAAAACUUUGUCCUAAGCUGUAAAUAUGUUUGAUUUUGUUGUAAAAAAAAAAAAAAAAGCAUUUCUUGGAAAAACACUCCAGGAGCUCAAGUGUUGUGCACUCCUGCACUGGUUUAAUUCCUCAACACUGGAGGUUGCUGCUUGCUGCAGAUGCUGUCGGAGUUGGGAGUGCCCAAAACUGUUUUCUCUCUUCUUAUGUACAUUAUCCUGUUCAUAGGUAAUGUAAAUCACCUCAUUCUAAAGAGAUGGACAUUUAACAAGCAUUGCUGCAGCUCCAUGGAGGGUCCAAUGGAAAAGAUUUAGCAGUUUUCCUCCUUGUUAUUCUCCUCCUAUCCUCUCUCUCUCUUUUAAAUUGGAGGGGCAGGUGUUUGGGUGCAGCAGAGGUUAAUGUACCAUUCCUCCAUCUCCUCAGAGACCUGUGUCUACAGCCCUGUUUCAUGCCAUUAAAUAGUAAUUGUGAUUAAUGCACCAACACACACUCACACACACAUACACAUAUGCACACGGUCAUACUGUAGUUUAUUGUGUCUAUUGAAUUAAACAACAAAGGAAUAGUCCCUUGCAGUGUUCAACAUAAUGUAUGAUUUACUAUAAUUAAACCGUAUUUGUGAGAACGGUGGUAUGAUAAAUUGGUCUCCAGAGACUUAUUGCAUUUUUUUAUUCAUUUUAAAAUAAUCAAAAAUUUAAAAAAACUGAGGUUUUCUCCCCUAGCUCUUCUAAAUGAUUUCAUCACUUCAUAGAAACAUUUUUUGCAUUGUUUCAUGGAAAUAAAGGUUAAUGUACAUCAUCAUUAAAGUGUGCAUUCAUAGAUUGAGUACAAUGUUUGGAAAAGUGAAUAUUAAAUACAAAAAAUAUAUUUGAAGCUGUGCAUCAGCUGUUAAUUAUGGUGAUUAUUAUAAUAUGGAGAUCAAGAUAACUAUCCUAAUAGCGAUGCUCAUUACAGCAGUCCUGAUAUUACUGCCACAGCUGCUCAUAAGCAGCAGCAGGAAGGUAUGACGGUUGAUUUGAAUACAGAUGAGAUGACCCACUGAGAGAGAGGGAAGAGAUUCACAUGCUUCUCUUUGUGUGAAACUUCAAAACCAAAGCAGGUUUACCAAUCAUGUCAGUAUCAACACAAGGAAACACGAGAAGUCAGCUGAUUCCUUUAAUUUGACGCUCUAUCAGCUGUCUAUUCUGAGUGACACCGUGCAGAUAUUUGUUUAUAUUAGCGCCUGGUCAAAAAAGGAUCAUUGCAUUAUGCUGCUGCACCGUCUCACCCUCACACAUUGAUUUCCUCUGAAUUCACUUAUUGCUAAUGCUGCUGGGGCUGCGUCUCUCACAUGAGCUUUAUUUGAAGAUGCACUGUGGUUUUGCUCGAGGCUAAUUAUAGAAGGUAGAUGCUGCAGUCUAUUUCCUCUCGGCUCACUUAAUCCUGUGUAUGUGCUCUUUAUUCAAAGCUGUUUGUAUUUGAGAAAGCCAGCUAUUUCGUUAUAUGAUUAAGUCAGUACCACAAAAGAGAAGCAUUGAGAUUUUCAGAAUAAGGUCAUCAUUUUAAAAGAAUAAAGGUUAUUACUCAAGAUAAAAGGCUGAGAGAGAAAAUUUGAUGUGAAUUUACAAGAAAAUUUGUGCAGUAUAACAAGAGUGAAGUAAUGAACUUACAAAGCUGUAAAUUUUCAAGAUCAGUCAUAAUUAUACAAGAAUAAAGUCUUAUGAGGAAAAAUUACAAAAGUAAAAUUAUAAUAUUACUGAAAUAAAGACACAUUUACAAAAAAUAGUCAUAUUACAAGAAUUGCGUCGGAGUAUUAGCGCCACAUUUAGAGAAAAAAAAAUAAGACUUAGAGAUUAAAGUCGUCAAUUUACGAGAAUAAAGUUGUAAUAAAGUAAUUACUCACGAGAAUAAAAUCAUAACUUCAUUCUCGACUUUAUUUCAAAGUCUUUUUUUUUUUUUUCUCAAUGCGGCCCUAAUACUCCGUCAUAAAGAAUAAAGCAGGUUUUUUUGUUUGUUUUUUUAAAAAGAAUAAGGUUUUGAAACGUACAGCUGUUCUUUCACUAUGGGAGCCUGUAUGUUAAGGGUAAUAUUGGAGGAAGAUACAUACAUGUAUUAGUAGCCACACAAUAUUAAGAUACUUAAUCCUUUUGCACAUCAGCACCAAUGUGUCUCAGCUCAAACAGGAUUGUAGAAAAACUGAGUGUGAUGCAUAAUUAUUGAUUAAACCUAAACCAGCUUUGCAAGAUACUCCAUAUUUCUUAUUUUGGCAGAUGGCGUUUCUCUUACUGUCGAACCAUUAUGAAAAAAUCUUGUAAUACUAUAACCUUAUUCACAUCAUAAAUUAUUUGAUAUUAGGACUUUAUUCUUGCCGAUCUACCUUUUAUCUGGGAAUCUCUUCUUUAACAUGGCCCCGAUACCCCAUCCUUUGGUCAUUUACAAGUCAAAUGAUAAACCUGUUUAGUAAGUUUCACCAUGAUGACGUUUUAUUUUGCAUUUUUUAACCAGAUCUGGUUUCCUGGGUUAAACACUGAUGUCUUUGUUGUUCAGAUUAGGCCUCCAAACAAAGACUCUGGUGAGGAGCCACAUGCAUGCCUGAGUCAAACCCAGAUUCUUUGUCUCUGGUUCUGGUUCAACACACAAACGCAAGCGGGUGAAGAAUCACCGGACUGACAGGUUUCCUGCUAGUCGACCUGACUCUGGCUUACCCAUGUGGAAUUUCAAGGUUUAGUGAGUGUGUUACAUUUGAGAGGCUGACAAGAUAUGAAAUGUUGCACAUUCCCUGAACUGAUCUCAGAAGUCGAGUUUAGAGGGAUCUCCUGAGCCGCAAAUAUGUACAGUUUAGAAAAUAGAGUUUGAGUGUUAAAGAAAAAUGAGUAUUUCACACUUUGGGUUUAAUUUCAGGACUGUGUGGGAGCACUGCAAUUCUGCAAAAUCUAAAAUUUUCUCAUCAACAUUUAAUCAAAGUAAAAUUUAAAAUUCAGUUUCUGCAGGAAGGAAGCAAGAAAACUCUAAACUGCCAAAAUGAGAAAAAUCUGCAGAGUGGUGAUAAAAACACAACCUCUGCAAUAAAAACGGGAAGUUAAGCCAUCCAGAUCAGCCGUUUUCAUCUCGGCUCCCCAGACGGUCAAAAAGUUAUUUCUGAAAACACGAGUGGCUAUUUUUACGCACUGAAAAUAUCUCGUCUUGUUUACUGAUUCCCUGUCCCACUUCACGGCGCACGCCCUCCACCCUCCUCCUCUCUUGUUCCACUUUUCUAUCCCACUCAGUCUGAGUUCUCUCAGCCGCAGAUUUAACAAGCAGAGAUUAGACAGGGGAGAAUCACACCCAGUCUCUGACUUUAUAAGACGUCUCUCUUCUCCACAUCUGCUCUUGUAAUUACACGGCAAUCUGCCCCUGCUCCCACUUAGCUGUGUCCUCAGUUUUCAUCUGCCUUUGUGUCUAACCACCAACUUUUUUUGUUCUGCCUACACAUUGUUUUUCAUUUCCAUGCAUGUGUCUUGCAUUAAAGAAACUUAGAGUUGGAUUCUUCUAAUCAGCAAAGAUAUGAACAUUGAGUAUAUCUAGCUACAGCCUGACCUGUAAAGCUCUCUAUGCUUAUUGGCAGACCAGACUAAAAUCAGGGCUAAGGAGUCAAUAUCAUCAAUUCCCAUCAAAAGCAAAAAUUUUCAUUUAUUUUUUUUUUUUGAAUAUGUGCGUGCAACACAAGAAAGUAAACUGAAAUCAAACAAAUAUGAGAAUAUUCAAAACAAAAAUAACAACAAUCAUAGCAAAAAAUAAAUACAAAUUUAAUACUAUUAAUAAUAAUGCGAACCCAAGAUGUCCGAAAACGAAUAAGAUGAAGCAUUAUCCUUUUUUAAACCUACCCCUUAUCCUCUACUCAAUAAACAGUCAAUCUCCAACAUAUUUACAUUAUAUUAACAAAAAAUAGAACAUAAAUAGAGUAAAUAAGUACAUAAAUCAUUCAUGAAAAUACCCGAUGGUUAGAGCCCUUCUUCCUCCCUGUACCUGGUGAGAACCAUGAUUUUACACCGCUUUUUAAACUGGGUUAUGCUUCGACAACGCUUGAGCUUCACACCUAAUCUGUUCCACAGCCUUACUCCACACACAGACACAAAAACUUUUUAAUGUUGUACAUGCCCACUGAUGCUUUAAGUUAAAGUCCUCCCCUCUGGUGAUUUUAAUUCACAAAUAAAAGUAUAUCCAAACCUGCACACAAGUCCUACUGCAAUGAAUUGAUCUUUUUGAGCUGCAUGUUAGAUACACUGAUUGCUAGAUAUUCCCCAUGCAUGCAGCAUGCAACAGCAAUGCACAAUAUAUGCGGGCGAAUUUUCAACCACCUCUGCUUUCAGUAGGUAUGCAGGGUCACAGAUAUCAAUAUAAAUGCAGGAUGAGCUGAACUUUGACACCCGUAAGCUAGCAGGAUUACUCACUUCAAAUGGCAAAAACAGGUGGUGCUGGAAACUGCAAUAUGUGGAAUUUGUUUUAAUGUAAUGAAUCACUCUGAGAGACCUUCAAAAACUGCAUCUUUUAUAUUGGUGCAAUUUAUCGACCAGGUUUAAGAGUUUAAAAGUGUAAAGAUUUACUCCAUGGAUAAAGACUACUUCAGCGCUCUUGUGUUUACACCCCGACAAACAUAAAAAACAAGCAUCACACACGGACACUGAAAGAACACACUGCAAGGAUCACAUGAAGAUGAAGAAAGCUGUUAACAACAACUCUUUCCUUCAGCGGCACUCUCGUCUUUGGUGUCUGACAUGAUAUAAAGACAUGCUGACCUCCCAGAGGUCAUCAGAGGCAAACAGGAGGGGGAGGUGAAGUCUGAAGCGAACGUGCGUCUGGGAACCAAGUGUGAUUCACACGCUACUCAUCCCCAUACGGCUCUGCUCUAUACAGAGCCCCGGGCACUUCACUGAGAGGGGGCUUUGUGUGGACUCCUCUGAGUGUUUGUGAGUGAGAGUUAGAAAGACCUCCUGUGAAUCAACAACUGUAUAUUUCAUUUGUCUCCUCCUGACGAGUCAAGAGUUCAUGGUUCGUUCAUUUGUUUCUUUGUUCCUCAGACUCCAAACAGCCAAACAGGAAUCAGCACAAGACUGAGUUCAAGUCAGAUGAAGUUCAGCUACACAAACAGGUCACAAUUAGAAAGUUGCUCACUCGAUGAGUCCAUCCACACGUGGCUUUAAGUGGAUAAGUGAAACAAGUUGAAGAGGGUUGUUAUUAUUACCCACAAUAGAGCUAAUUAGAGCGCUAGUUCAAAACCCUUUUGUUGAGGGCCUGAAAGUCACAGCAGAGUGGCCACAAACCUCACAACUCCAUGAAAACUACUUCAGUCACACCUUUAAAAGCUUCUGGAGAUUUAGCUUAGAAGAGUGAAAAUGUCAUUUUAACAUGUCAUGUUCAUUUUAACAAGGACAAAACUGGGAUGGUUUGGGAACUGGAGCAGAGUAUCUCCAAAACGAUACUCCAAGCCUGCAGAAAACAAUACCUUCUAAAAGAGGUCCAAGUAAGGAAGACGAGGGCAGCUAAGGCUGACAUACUCUACAUAAGGAGGUAAGCCUGGCCUGUGUGGUCUGAUUCAAUGGGAAAACCUGCUCGAGCUCAAAGGGAUAUUCUGGCGUAAAAUUAAUUUAGGGUCAAACGCACCAUAACACUGAGUUAGACACCCCCAACUUAUACCAACUUUAGUAACGACCGCACGAUAGCAAUA